UGCAGUCGAGCGCACUCUUCGGAGUGAGCGGCGGACGGGUUAGUAACGCGUGGGAACGUACCCAGAUCUACGGAAUAGCCUCGGGAAACUGAGAGUAAUACCUUAUACGCCCUUCGGGGGAAAGAUUUAUCGGAUUUGGAUUAGCCCGCGUUAGAUUAGAUAGUUGGUGGGGUAAUGGCCUACCAAGUCUACGAUCUAUAGCUGGUUUUAGAGGAUGAUCAGCAACACUGGGACUGAGACACGGCCCAGACUCCUACGGGAGGCGGCAGUGGGGAAUCUUAGACAAUGGGCGAAAGCCUGAUCUAGCCAUGCCGCGUGUGUGAUGAAGGCCCUAGGGUCGUAAAGCACUUUCGCCAGAGAUGAUAAUGACAGUAUCUGGUAAAGAAACCCCGGCUAACUCCGUGCCAGCAGCCGCGGUAAUACGGAGGGGGUUAGCGUUGUUCGGAAUUACUGGGCGUAAAGCGUACGUAGGCGGAUUAGUAAGUUAGGGGUGAAAUCCCGAGGCUCAACCUCGGAACUGCCUCUAAAACUGCUAGUCUUGAGUUCGAGAGAGGUGAGUGGAAUUCCGAGUGUAGAGGUGAAAUUCGUAGAUAUUCGGAGGAACACCAGUGGCGAAGGCGGCUCACUG
rnacentral:rRNA from 1 species